GCAGUGGUGGUUUAGUGACAGAAUUCCCACCUUCCAUGUGGGGGACCCAGGUUCAAUUCCCAGCCAAUGCA
rnacentral:tRNA from 1 species